GAAGUUAGCGGCGGACGGGUGAGUAACACGUGGGCAACCUGCCUGUAAGACUGGGAUAACUUCGGGAAACCGGAGCUAAUACCGGAUAAUAUAUAGUACCUCCUGGUACUAUAUUGAAAGUUGGUUUCGGCUAACACUUACAGAUGGGCCCGCGGCGCAUUAGCUAGUUGGUGAGGUAACGGCUCACCAAGGCAACGAUGCGUAGCCGACCUGAGAGGGUGAUCGGCCACACUGGGACUGAGACACGGCCCAGACUCCUACGGGAGGCAGCAGUAGGGAAUCUUCCACAAUGGACGAAAGUCUGAUGGAGCAACGCCGCGUGAGCGAUGAAGGCCUUCGGGUCGUAAAGCUCUGUUGUUAGGGAAGAACAAGUGCGAGAGUAACUGCUCGCACCUUGACGGUACCUAACCAGAAAGCCACGGCUAACUACGUGCCAGCAGCCGCGGUAAUACGUAGGUGGCAAGCGUUGUCCGGAAUUAUUGGGCGUAAAGCGCGCGCAGGCGGUUUCUUAAGUCUGAUGUGAAAGCCCACGGCUCAACCGUGGAGGGUCAUUGGAAACUGGGAGACUUGAGUGCAGAAGAAGAGAGUGGAAUUCCACGUGUAGCGGUGAAAUGCGUAGAGAUGUGGAGGAACACCAGUGGCGAAGGCGACUCUCUGGUCUGUAACUGACGCUGAAGCGCGAAAGCGUGGGGAGCAAACAGGAUUAGAUACCCUGGUAGUCCACGCCGUAAACGAUGAGUGCUAAGUGUUAGAGGGUUUCCGCCCUUUAGUGCUGCAGCUAACGCAUUAAGCACUCCGCCUGGGGAGUACGGUCGCAAGACUGAAACUCAAAGGAAUUGACGGGGGGCCGCACAAGCGGUGGAGCAUGUGGUUUAUUCGAAGCACGCGAAAACCUUACCAGUCUUGACUCCUCUGCCACUCUAAGAUAGAGCGUUCCCUUCGGGGACAAAUGACAGGGGUGCAUGGUGUCGUCAGCU
rnacentral:rRNA from 2 species